UGAAUACGAGACGCUAAGGCGUCGAAGUAGUGUAUGUCAUACUUCCAAGAAAAGCUUGCACUGUCAUAGAUAAAAAACGCCUGUACCAUAACCGACACAGGUGGGUAGGUAGAGUAUACUAGGGGCGCGAGAUAACUCUCUCUAAGGAACUCGGCAAAAUAACUCCGUAACUUCGGGAGAAGGAGUGCCUUAUUCGUAAGGUUGCAAUAACAAGAUCCAAGCAACUGUUUAUCAAAAACACAGGUCUCCGCUAAGUCGUAAGACGAUGUAUGGGGGCUGACGCCUGCCCAGUGCCAGAAGGUUAAAGAAGUUGGUUAGCAAUUGCGAAGCUGAUAACUGAAGCCCUGGUGAACGGCGGCCGUAACUAUAACGGUCCUAAGGUAGCGAAAUUCCUUGUCGGGUAAGUUCCGACCCGCACGAAAGGCGCAAUGAUUUGGAUACUGUCUCGGAGAGGGGCUCGGUGAAAUAGACUUGUCUGUGAAGAUGCGGACUACCUGCACCAGGACAGAAAGACCCUAUGAAGCUUUACUGUAACUUGAAAUUGAAAUUGGACUUUAUUCGCGCAGUAUAGGUGGGAGGCGUUGAUUAUAAUCUUGUGGGAUUAUUGGAGCCAUCAGUGAGAUACCACUCUUGUAAUGUUAGAUUUCUAACUUUGAAUCAUUAUCUGGUCAAAGAACAGUUUCAGGCGGGCAGUUUGACUGGGGCGGUCGCCUCCUAAACGGUAACGGAGGCGUACAAAGGUUUCCUCUGAACGGUUAGAAAUCGUAUCUAGAGUGUAAAGGCAUAAGGAAGCUUGACUGUGAGACCUACAAGUCGAGCAGGGACGAAAGUCGGUCUUAGUGAUCUGACGGUACUGAGUGGAAAGGCCGUCACUCAACGGAUAAAAGUUACUCUAGGAUAACAGGCUGAUCUCCCCCAAGAGUUCACAUCGACGGGGAGGUUUGGCACCUCGAUGUCGGCUCAUCGCAUCCUGGGGCGGUAGUACGUCCCAAGGGUUGGGCUGUUCGCCCAUGAAAGCGGUACGCGAGCUGGGUUCAGAACGUCGUGAGACAGUUCGGUCCAUAUCCGGUGUAGGCGUUAGAAUAUUGAGAGGAGCCUUCUUUAGUACGAGAGGACCGAGAAGGACAUACCUCUGGUGUACCAGUUAUCGUGCCAACGGUAAACGCUGGGUAGCUAUGUAUGGAGUGGAUAACCGCUGAAAGCAUCUAAGUGGGAAGCCCACCUCAAGAUAAGUAUUCUCAC
rnacentral:rRNA from 1 species